CCUACGGGAGGCAGCAGUAGGGAAUCUUGCGCAAUGGGCGAAAGCCUGACGCAGCCAUGCCGCGUGAAUGAUGAAGGUCUUAGGAUUGUAAAAUUCUUUCACCGGGGACGAUAAUGACGGUACCCGGAGAAGAAGCCCCGGCUAACUUCGUGCCAGCAGCCGCGGUAAUACGAAGGGGGCUAGCGUUGCUCGGAAUUACUGGGCGUAAAGGGAGCGUAGGCGGAUAGUUUAGUCAGAGGUGAAAGCCCAGGGCUCAACCUUGGAACUGCCUUUGAUACUGGCUAUCUUGAGUACGGGAGAGGUGAGUGGAACUCCGAGUGUAGAGGUGAAAUUCGUAGAUAUUCGGAAGAACACCAGUGGCGAAGGCGACUCACUGGCCCGUUACUGACGCUGAGGCUCGAAAGCGUGGGGAGCAAACAGGAUUAGAUACCCUGGUAGUCCACGCUGUAAACGAUGAGUGCUAGUUGUCGGCAUGCAUGCAUGUCGGUGACGCAGCUACGCAUAAGACACUCCGCCGUCGGGGAGGUACGGUCGCGAAGAAUUAAACUACAAUAGAAGUUAGACGGCGUAGAGACGUCGCCGAACGGACGACGACGAGGGAGAGG
rnacentral:rRNA from 1 species